rnacentral:rRNA from 1 species
AGUCGGGAAUCCCACUGUGAUGUUGAAGAUGAUCCUUCCGCGUAACACUUGCCGAAGCCUUAGCAGCCUGAAAAGGUGCAGUCUCGACGACUAUAAUCAAAAGAGGACCGCUCAAAUGCUAGUCUGCCCAAAGCAGGCGACACUAUCAAAUUGCGGGAACACCCUAAAGACCUCAACACCAAGCGUUUGUGGGAAACCAUGACGUGGCCGAGCUAAUAGCCCUGGGUAUGGUAACAGUUUGAGGUAUGAUGCCCCUGUUGGGGUUGAAAUGGGCAAUCCGCAGCCAAGUCCUAAAGUGCUCGCGUUCGGGCGCCAUGGAUGCUGUUCACAGGCCAAAUGGUAGUGGGUGACUCUGAAUGGAGUUGCUUAAGAUAUGGUCGGGCCCCUUCAGAAAUGUUGGGGGUAAGUUUACGCUAUCAGACAUAAAUUCAAGGAAAGAUCAGUCUCUCUAAUGAGUUUGUCUGUAAGAACAACCGUUCCGUAGGUGAACCUGCGGAAGGAUCAUUACUGAGGGGGUUUACCCCCGUCAAGAUACCACCCUUGCCUUUGAGUACCUUCUGUUUCCUCGGCGGGUUCGCUCGCCAACGGGGACAACAACAACAUCUUUUGUAAUUGAAGUACACGUCUUUACUAAAUCAAAAUCAAAACUUUCAACAACGGAUCUCUUGGUUCUGGCAUCGAUGAAGAACGCAGCGAAAUGCGAUAAGUAGUGUGAAUUGCAGAAUUCAGUGAAUCAUCGAAUCUUUGAACGCACAUUGCGCCCUUUGGUAUUCCUUAGGGCAUGCCUGUUCGAGCGUCAUCUAAACCUCAAGCAUUGCUUGGUGUUGGGCGUUUGUCCUACUUCUAGUGUGGACUCGCCUCAAAUAUAUUGGCGGCCCGUGUAUUGGGCUUCGAGCGCAGCAGACUCGCGUCUCGAUUCUCUCUCUACGCGGAUAUUCCAUUAAGAAUACCUCAAAGUUUGACCUCGGAUCAGGUAGGGAU